GACGAACGCUGGCGGCGUGCUCCUCACAUGCGCGUCUAACGAGGAUCAGUUGAUUGAGAGCUUCCGCAGGAUUGAACUUGAUUCGAGUGGCGGACGGGUGAGUAACUUCGUGAGCAACCUGUCCCAGACAGGGGGAUAACACUUGGAAACAGGUGCUAAUACCGCAUAAGACCACGGUAUCACAUGGUACUGGGGUAAAAGGUGUAAACCGGUUUGGGGUGGGCUCGCGUCCGAUUAGAUAGUUGGUGAGGUAACGGCCCACCAAGUCAACGAUCGGUAGCCGACCUGAGAGGGUGAUCGGCCACAUUGGAACUGAGAGACGGUCCAAACUCCUACGGGAGGCAGCAGUGGGGAAUAUUGGGCAAUGGGCGAAAGCCUGACCCAGCAACGCCGCGUGAGUGAUGAAGGCCUUCGGGUUGUAAAGCUCUGUUAUAGGGGACGAAGGAAGUGACGGUACCCUAUAAGGAAGCCCCGGCUAACUACGUGCCAGCAGCCGCGGUAAUACGUAGGGGGCGAGCGUUGUCCGGAAUGACUGGGCGUAAAGGGCGUGUAGGCGGCCGAUUAAGUGUGGAGUGAAAGUCCUGAUUUCAAGUUGGGAAUUGCUUUGCAGACUGGUUGGCUUGAGUGCAGAAGAGGUAAGCGGAAUUCCCAGUGUAGCGGUGAAAUGCGUAGAGAUUGGGAGGAACACCAGUGGCGAAGGCGGCUUACUGGGCUGUAACUGACGCUGAGGCGCGAAAGCGUGGGGAGCGAACAGGAUUAGAUACCCUGGUAGUCCACGCGGUAAACGAUGAAUGCUAGGUGUUGCGGGUAUCGACCCCUGCAGUGCCGGAGUAAACACAAUAAGCAUUCCGCCUGGGGAGUACGGCCGCAAGGUGGAAACUCAAAGGAAUUGACGGGGGCCCGCACAAGCAGCGGAGCAUGUUGUGUAAUUUGAAGCAACGCGAAGAACCUUACCAGGUCUUGACAUCCGAUUAAACUAUAAGAGAUUAGAGGUCCUUUCUUGGGAAUCGAGACAGGUGGUGCAUGGUUGUCGUCAGCUCGUGUCGUGAGAUGUUGGGUUAAGUCCCGCAACGAGCGCAACCCUUAUGGUCAGUUUCUAACAUGUAGAGGUGAGGACUCUGACAAGACUGCCGGGGACAACUCGGAGGGAGGUGGGGGGGACGUCAAAUCAUCAUGCCCCUUAUGACCUGGGGUACAAACGUGUUCCAAUGGUGAUUACAAAGAGGAGCGAGGCCGUGAGGUGGAGCGGAUCUCAAAAAAGUCAUCCCAGUUCGGAUUGUGGGCGGCAACCCGCCCACAUGAAGUUGGAGUUGCUAGUAAUCGCGGAUCAGCAUGCCGCGGUGAAUACGUUCUCGGGCUUUGCACACACCGCCCGUCA
rnacentral:rRNA from 1 species